rnacentral:rRNA from 1 species
AACACAUGCAAGUCGAACGGAGUUAUUGGAGCUUGCUUUGAUAAACUUAGUGGCGGACGGGUGAGUAACACGUGAGCAAUCUGCCCUUAAGAGGGGGAUAGCAGUUGGAAACGACUGAUAAUACCGCAUAAGAUAGUAGUACCGCAUGGUACAGCUAUAAAAGAUUUAUCGCUUAAGGAUGAGCUCGCGUCUGAUUAGCUAGUUGGUGAGGUAACGGCUCACCAAGGCAACGAUCAGUAGCCGGACUGAGAGGUUGGACGGCCACAUUGGGACUGAGACACGGCCCAGACUCCUACGGGAGGCAGCAGUGGGGAAUAUUGCACAAUGGAGGAAACUCUGAAUGCAGCGAUGCCGCGUGAGGGAAGAAGGUUUUAGGAUUGUAAACCUCUGUUGACAGGGACGAUAAUGACGGUACCUGUUGAGGAAGCUCCGGCUAACUACGUGCCAGCAGCGGC